CCAGAAAUGAGCUGCCAGGAAGUGAUCGAUUUCGGACACGAAGAAACCAUAUUGAGGAGCUGGUCCACCUGUAGGAAGAAUUGCGCUAUUGGUUGGAGCAGCACUAUUCCCCAGCCAUACACCAGCACUUAGUUUGUCAUAGGGAGCAUUUCUGAGCAGUUAUGGAGACCACUAACUAUGCAGUUGUUGCAGUGAAACUUGCACCAGUGUGUUUUCUGUGGAAAUAAAGAGACAGUGUCCGGCAAUGAAGACCCAACUCAAGAUCUGACCUUGUAAGGCCAAUAUGAAAUAACUGUGUGGAAAAAUGGGAAAAACCUGCAGUCAGGAAUGCACGGAAAUCAUCAAAAGAACAGUGUUAAAUUAAUCUUGAAUAACUUGACAUUUAUUUUGUUUGACAUAUUUAUUCAUGGUGCAGUGAAAACAAGUUUUUUUUUCCUCAUGGUUAUUUAAAUUUAGAAUUGAUAGGAGGGAACAUCACUAUGUAGUUUCAUGUUCAUAGUCAGAUCAAAACCCAUGUACAUGUAUAAAUGAGCAUUCGAAAAUAUCAAAAUGGAACU